rnacentral:tRNA from 1 species
UGGGGUAUCGCCAAGCGGUAAAGCAUCAGGUUUUGAUCCUGACAUGCGGAGGUUCGAAUCUUCCUACUCCAGCCA